rnacentral:lncRNA from 10 species
UUCUAUUAGGUAAAUGGGUUGUUCUCUUUAUUAGGCAAAGCCCAGGCAGCCAUCAGUUGUUUUUCUCUAUCCAGUUUUAUUGCCCUUAUGGUUAGUGGAAAUGGAGUGAAGCAAUCAAUUGCCUGUCAGCUUUCACUUUUUCGAUGGUUGUGAGUGUUGAUCUUUUCUAAAAAUUGGCAUUUUAUUCCUCUGCUUGUUCCUAAUCACCAGUCUUAUCAUUGCUCAAGCUAAGCCUGCAUCAAAAGCCUCAGUUAAGUGUCCUUGCUGUUUCCAAGCCUUGCUGAUGUUGUCUGAGAUUUUUCUAAGGUCAAAUGAUAAUCUACUAACCAGAAUCCCCCACAACAGAAAGCUAGGAUUGUCAGCAGUUUCAUAAAUAAAUGAGUCACCAGAGCUUAUUUCUAACCCUUUUUAUACCUGGAAUUCACUUAAAUAUUGCCAUAUAAGGCUACAAUAAAUGUAGAUAAUUAGCGUAGAAGGAUACUGUGCACAGGCACAUGGCCUCAUGAACACAUACACACACUCUCUGUGUGAACACACACAUCUUGUCAUGUAUGAACACAAGCCAGUCCUUACACGUGAGCGUGUACAUGGUCUCACAAAUGAGCAUAUCGAUAGCCUCAUGCAUGAACACACAGGAAUAAAAUGGUUCAGUACAAUUAUACCACAACUGAAAAAACAACAUAAAUCCCAUCAAAGGCAAAUACAAGGUGUAAAAUAUAACUGAGAGGAAAAACAAAGAAAUGACAAGAAAUGGAUAUGUGUGGUGCGGAAAGUAAUGAUCCAAUCAUUUUUACACAUAUCGUUUGUUAACUUCAUAAUAAUCUGACAAGGAAGGUACCAGGAAUCAAAUGAAUUCAAUUAAUUAUCUAUUCAUGAAAUGUAUCAGUUACCUACUAUGUGCUAGGCACUAGCACUGACACUGAGGCUCAGUAAGGCAAUUACUGGUAAACUAUUCAGUGAUAUUGGUGAGUGCCAAAUUCAAGCCUAACGAUAUUGCCCGUGUGUUCUCCACUACCCCACACUAAAGUACAGGAUUGAUUUAUUCUUAUUUUUUCCUAGAACACUAUUUUUGCAGAAGCUUUUGUAUAGCUAAUUUAAAUAGAAAUAUAAUAUUUCUUUACAUAGUGAAACUCUGAGUUAGUUCAUGAUGCAAAGUUUCCAUAUAGUUUUUCCAUAUCAGAAAUUUUGAGUAAAAUGUAUGUUUAAAACACUAGCUUGGUAAAGUGAUAAUAGUGGCAAGGUUUCUGAAUAUGUCUGAGUCCCACCACUCUGCAUAAUAACUGACAGAACAGCUAGAAUAAUAAGACCAAAAGCCCAAACACUACUUCCAGAAAAAUGUAGCUGCAAGGCAUCCUCCAAACCUAAAAACACAAACUGGGAGCUACAAGCUACCAGUACAACAAGAUCCAUGUGGCCUCGCAACUGUAAAAGAAGAAACAGAAAACAAGAGGAUUUCAGAUGGCCAUGAGACCCAGAAAACCAACAGUGCUAACUAGAAUGCUCAAUAGGCCACGCUGAGUACAGCAGCCAAAAAUGGGUGGGAAGUUUAUGGGCUCCAAUUUGCUGGGUAAUGGAAUAGAACCACAAUAAGGUCAAAUGGUGGUGGAGCAGUGUGGGCCUUUUAAACUCUGGAAACUAAUCAGCUAAAACUUCCUUUCAGGGCAAAGGUUAACACUGAGGAGAAACUGCUGGAAGUAGAAUCCAAAUUAAGUAAGAGAAGAAACAGAGACCAGAUCCAGUUCUGCAUGGCUGGGGAAGCUUCAAGAAAAUUACAAUCAUGGUGGAAGAGGAAGCAAACACCUCCUUCUUCAAAUGGCAGCAGGAGAGAGAAGUGCAGAGCAAAAGGGGCGAAAACCCCUUAUAAAACCAUGAGAUCUCAUGAGAACUCACUAUCACAACAACAGCGUGGGGGAACUGCCUCCAUAAAUCGAAUCACCUCCCACAAGGUCCCUCCCCAACGCUUUGGGAUUACAAUUCAGAUUAAAAUUCAAGAUGAGAUUUGGGUGGGGACACAGACCCAGACCAUAUCAGCCUGUGAAAAUUAUUUUAAUUGACUUUGAAACACCACAACUCUACUAUAUAUGCUAGGGUCCCCACUUGAAUCACUAUAAUUAUUGAAAAUAGCAGCUGAUACGUACCAAUAUAAAACUGAAGACUUGCUAUGACCCAGGAACUCUGGGAAGCAUGUUAUGUAAUUGCAUCUGCCUUCCUUGCUGGACUCUAAGCUCCUUGAGGACAAAGAUGUAUCCAUUGUGCCACUUCUACAUUCUCCAAGCCUAGCAGAGAACCAAGAACUAAGGGCUCAAAAACAUGUGUUGAAUUAAUUAAGAAUAUCACAGCAAAUCCUCUGAAAAACUCAGAGAUAAGUGACAUCAUCAUCCUUAUUUUAUAGAUGACAAACCUGAAAUUUGGGUCAAGAACACAGAGCCUGUGGGUGACAAACAGCAAUCCAAACCAACAAUCAGAUUCCCAAACUUGAAAACUCAUCUACUCUGCCUCACUGAUCAGUUUGUUUGCCCAGUUUCACCAUAAAAGAGUAGGUAAGAUGGGGAGUGAGGAGAGAGACACAAGGAAAAACAUCUCUUGCUUGAGACACCCUCUUCUUUCUUACUCACUUGCCACACAUUCUUUAAGGCUUAUUUCCAGCCCAAAAUUCUCCAAGAAAUCUUUUUGGACCAUACAGCUCUUUUUGUUUCUUCUGAAUACCAGCAGCCCUUAAUAUCCAUUGAAAAGAAUUAAAAAACUACCCCAGCUCUCCUGCAUAGCUCAUUCUUGUUAAGUGUAUGGAGUCCUCUGAAUUUCCCAAAAGCAUGAUAAGGUCCUAAGGGCAAGGUACCCAAUUAUUUUCCCUGUUUGCGGAACAGCACACAGCACAAAAAUGAACACAUGGUUUAGGUUCUUUGUAACUACCUAAGGUCAGAUCAGCUAGAGUGACUAGUUAAUGAUAUACAUAAUAUCAGUAUCAGACCAGGAAUAUCCUUCCUCCUCUCAUUUGUAAAAUUCUCUCAAAUAUCACCCAUUAAAACUGUGGACUUCUUCAUCCUUUUUGUGUUCAUUUAUCUAAAGUGCUAGACAAGCCAGGAGAAUGCCCUGGCCAAAGAAAAUUAAAGGAAGAAAAGGUUAUGAGCUUUUUGCUUCCUCCCAUGCACACUUUGCUUAAUUCAGGGAGCAUUUGGUUUUUAUUCCAUGAGAGACCAAGGACUCCCACUUCAAAAACAACACAAUGAUUAUGGCCAGCAAAAUUCCUAUAAAAGAGAACAUAAAGAAACUUCAGAGACAUUUAAUUGAUCUACAGUAAGAAUGGGCCAGGAUUUUUACACUCUGGAAGUAUUAGGUAGAACUGUAGUUAAAAUUAUUUAUUUUAUUACAAGAAUAGUACAAGGCUGUCUUUAUGCCAGAGUAAUUAUCCAGUUAAUUGCCCUAGAAUGAGUAUAACCCAGUUUCCAGAUACAUAACACACAUUUUGCCAAAUGUGACUUGACUUAUGCCAGCAGCCUGCAACAGUUUUAAUCUCAAAAGUUGCCAGGGAACUUAAAGGACACCCACGGGAGCCUGGGGCAAGCCCAAGACUGCACAGCAGGAAGCACAUGGAAGGGGAAGGAAGAAAAGGAAUGACUAUCAGCUGCUGGGACCAAGGAGUCCAGGAAAGUAGAACAAGGAAGGGAUGUGAGCAGAGGAAAACAAGUAGAAGAAAGGAAAAAAUAAGUAAAUGUGGUGAAGAACAAUGGCCUUCUUUUUGGCAUUAACGGAAUAAAAUAUGUUUUGGGCAUCAUAGAUGUUACUGCUCUUUUUUGAGAAUUAAAUGAAGUAUAUAAUGAGCUAGGCAAAGUGCCAAACAUAUAGUAAUAAUUUUAGGAUGUUAGGUGUUUUUUGUCCCCCAAAGGGAUGUUUGUUUGUGGGGGUUUUUUGUUUUGUUUUGUUUUUUGUUUAUUUUUUGAGAUGGAGUCUGGCUCUUAUCGCCA